GACGAACGCUGGCGGCGUGCUUAACACAUGCAAGUCGAACGGUGACGAGGAGCUUGCUCCUCUGAUCAGUGGCGAACGGGUGAGUAACACGUGAGCAACCUGCCCCAGACUCUGGGAUAACAGUUGGAAACAGCUGCUAAUACCGGAUACGAGACGGAGAGGCAUCUCUACCGUCUGGAAAGUUUUCGGUCUGGGAUGGACUCGCGGCCUAUCAGCUAGUUGGUGAGGUAAUGGCUCACCAAGGCGACGACGGGUAGCCGGCCUGAGAGGGCGACCGGCCACACUGGGACUGAGACACGGCCCAGACUCCUACGGGAGGCAGCAGUGGGGAAUUUUGGGCAAUGGGGGAGACCCUGACCCAGCGACGCCGCGUGAGGGAAGACGGCCUUCGGGUUGUAAACCUCUUUUGUACGGGAAGAUAAUGACGGUACUGUACGAAUAAGUCCCCGGCUAACUACCGUG
rnacentral:rRNA from 1 species